rnacentral:rRNA from 1 species
AUUGAACGCUGGCGGCAUGCCUUACACAUGCAAGUCGAACGGUAACGCGGGGCAACCUGGCGACGAGUGGCGAACGGGUGAGUAAUGCAUCGGAACGUGCCUGGUAGUGGGGGAUACCUGCUCGAAAGAGCGGCUAAUAACGCAUACGACCUGAGGGUGAAAGGGGGGGCUCGCAAGACCUAUCGCUAUCAGAGCGGACGAUGUAGGAUUAGCUAGUUGGUGGGGUAAAGGCCCACCAAGGCGACGAUCCGUAGCUGGUCUGAGAGGGAGACCAGCCACACUGGGACUGAGACACGGCCCAGACUCCUACGGGAGGCAGCAGUGGGGAAUUUUGGACAAUGGACGCAAGUCUGAUCCAGCCAUGCCGCGUGCGGGAAGAAGGCCUUCGGGUUGUAAACCGCUUUUGUCAGGGAAGAAAUCUUCUGGGUUAAUACCUCGGGAGGAUGACGGUACCUGAAGAAUAAGCACCGGCUAACUACGUGCCAGCAGCCGCGGUAA